CGGCUGUGAUGACUACUUAGGACACCUUUGGAUUAAAUCAUGAAAAUAACUUGAAUAAGAUCUGAGCUUG